rnacentral:lncRNA from 1 species
AGAUAUGAACAAAUGAAUAUUCAUUCAAGACAGGAGACUUACAAUAUGCCAAAGAACAGGUGUCUCAAAGGUUAACUUUAGUGAGCCAAUAAAUUUUAUUUGGGUUACUUGCAGGGAUAUGGAAAAUGGGUUACUAAUGGGAGCAGAAAUAAGUUAAAUACAAAAUACACAACAGUAUAAGUGAAAGUUAAUAUCUGGAAUCACGAAGUGAAAUACAUAAUUGUCAGGCAGCUCAACAGGUUAUAGCACAUUCCUUCAAACUUGCUCAGUUCUGAAGGUCUUCUUGGUCUCUCAGCUUCCCUGAAAAAGCUACCUAGCUGUUCUCACAGCUUGGUAGAUGGAUCUUGUAAAUCUUUUCUAUUUCAUGGACUUCCUGAAACCAAUGAGUUGUUUAUUUCCUAAGCUACAGGAACUUCCUUGAAGGAUGGAAUGACAUGCUUUUUUUUUUUUUUUUUUUGAACAUCAUAACUUAUAUGUGGGGUGGUUCAGACAUUCCUCAGACUGAUCAUUAAUAAAUUUUAACAGAAGCUUUUAUUUCACAUACUCUCCCCAGGUCUAAACUCAGGACUUAGGAUUCACAAAUGUAACUCUAAACCACAUCAGUCAGAGAUUUAUAAAGUUGAACACAAAGUUACAUUGUGUUCUUCUGCAAGCAGAGGAUACUGUCCAACAAAGCAAGCCUUUGUUUACAGAAGUAGAAAC